rnacentral:rRNA from 1 species
AUUGAACGCUGGCGGCAUGCCUUACACAUGCAAGUCGAACGGUAACAGGUUAAGCUGACGAGUGGCGAACGGGUGAGUAAUGUAUCGGAACGUGCCCAGUCGUGGGGGAUAACUGCUCGAAAGAGCAGCUAAUACCGCAUACGACCUGAGGGUGAAAGCGGGGGAUCGCAAGACCUCGCGCGAUUGGAGCGGCCGAUAUCAGAUUAGGUAGUUGGUGGGGUAAAGGCCUACCAAGCCUACGAUCUGUAGCUGGUCUGAGAGGACGACCAGCAACACUGGGACUGAGACACGGCCCAGACUCCUACGGGAGGCAGCAGUGGGGAAUUUUGGACAAUGGACGCAAGUCUGAUCCAGCCAUGCCGCGUGCGGGAAGAAGGCCUUCGGGUUGUAAACCGCUUUUGUCAGGGAAGAAAAGGUUCUGGCUAAUACCUGGGACUCAUGACGGUACCUGAAGAAUAAGCACCGGCUAACUACGUGCCAGCCGCCGCGGUAACAC